CUGGUCGUGCUACUCUGCACACCGUGCGCUUGCGGUUUUAUUUACAAAUUUUAAGAUUUGCACAUCAGGAAGAUAUUAAUAUUUCAUUACAGACGACCUAUCUGGGCAUGGGUGCGUCUGGCCUGAAUUAUUUGAAAUGUUCAAAUGAUUCAAUAAUGAAAGAUUGAAAUAAAUUGGAUAAAGUGUUGAACUCUUUGAUC
rnacentral:lncRNA from 1 species